UCCCGUUUGGCUCAGUUGGUAGAGCAUGGUGUUUGCAACACCAGGGUUGUGGGUUCGAUUCCCACGGGGGAC
rfam:Salmo salar isolate Sally breed double haploid chromosome ssa08, whole genome shotgun sequence.